CCUACGGGAGGCAGUAGUGGGGAAUAUUGCACAAUGGGGGAAACCCUGAUGCAGCGACGCCGCGUGAGUGAAGAAGUAAUUCGUUAUGUAAAGCUCUAUCAGCAGGGAAGAAAAUGACGGUACCUGAGUAAGAAGCCCCGGCUAACUACGUGCCAGCAGCCGCGGUAAUACGUAGGGGGCAAGCGUUAUCCGGAUUUACUGGGUGUAAAGGGAGCGUAGACGGCAGUGCAAGUCUGGAGUGAAAGGCGGGGGCUCAACCCCCGGACUGCUCUGGAAACUGUACGGCUGGAGUGCAGGAGAGGCAGGCGGAAUUCCUAGUGUAGCGGUGAAAUGCGUAGAUAUUAGGAGGAACACCAGUGGCGAAGGCGGCCUGCUGGGCUUUUACUGACGCUGAGGCUCGAAAGUGUGGGGAGCAAACAGGAUUAGAUACCCCAGUAGUC
rnacentral:rRNA from 1 species